GUUUACGGCCAUACCAUCCUGAACAUGCCUGAUCUCCUCUGAUCUCAGCAGCUAAGCAGGGUCAAGCCUGGUUAGUCCUUGGAUGGGAGACCACCUAGGAAUACCUGUAGGUGUAAAAA
rnacentral:rRNA from 1 species